rnacentral:tRNA from 1 species
GACACUUUGGCCGAGUGGUUAAGGCGGUGCCCUGCUACUCUGAAAAGUGAGUAAGGCAUUACAUUCGUGUGCGUAGGUUCGAAUCCUGCAGGUGUCG